GAUCCAUGCAACACACAUGACCUUCGAUGUGGCUUCUUUGAUCACAGAAGCUGUAGACGGUUACUCAUUGUUGGGAUCAAGAAUAAACACAUAGAUCAAAGCAUUAUAUUCAGGGUUUUGAGGCUGGAGACACCAAACUGGUGAUUUAGCACAGAGACACAUGUGAACCAUCAGAUGCUGCACAUCACAUUUUCACAUCCACUCUCCGCCAGACUCCAUCAGAGACCAUUAUGUUCUGCCAUGAAUCUGUUGAAAACGUUGAAGCAAAAAGCUGUUGAAGCAGAUCAUCUGAAGCUCAGGCUGAAGAUCCUGAAGAUCAGGAGCAGAGAUCAUGCCUCCCAACUCGUACUACACAGAAAAACAAAGUACUUUCAUAAGCAGCAUCUGUGUUGUGUUUGGAGUGUAGACUCUAUUCAGCCUUUGUGUCAUGAUGAAGAGCAGCACAGGCAAUUAAACAUGUAGAGAUAGUAAACCAGCCAUCACGUGUUGUUGUUCACUAAUGACCAUUAGGGAUUUUUGAGCGGAAACAUGCAUCAUCCUGUCAUGUUUUCUUUGCCUUGCAAUCAGAGAGCGUAUUUAUGACAGUUCACGUGUGGGAAAGUUAACAGAGUGUAAUUAAGACGCACAUCUUGAAGUCGGUGGGAAAGCGGUGUUUUUAAACCACUGGAAGUUUCCAGCUGUCUAAGCAGAAGAUUGAUUUCAGAGACACACCUGCUUCUCAGGAUCGGAUGGUCUCAGAAGACAAGUUAAUGACUAAUAAGAGUGUCCAUUAUAAAGAAAGGGAAAUGCUAUUAAAACUCAUUUACAAGUUCUUAGAAAUGGACUUGUUGUAUUCAUGUUGGCUUUAUGGUUUUGAAAAAAAACAUUUUCUAAUAAAGUUUUAACCUAAUGACUCUAAAAUAUCAUGUGGUGAAUAUUGUGUACACAUCUUUAUCAAUUUUUUUAUUUUCUUAAUCAGUUUUAAAGUGUAUUUUUGAAUACAACAUUUCUAUUUUAUUUUUAUGUGAACUACAUGAUAUUUUACAUUCUGAACUUAUCUGGCCUUGUCAUAAAAGUCAAUGCAUCUGGUAUAUUUUGCAUUAAAAUAUUUUUCUCAAAUUAUAUAAUACAGUUUUAUUUUGAGGCUUUUUUAAUUAUUAUUAUAUUGCAUUUUUAUUCAAUAUAUUUUUCU